ACCUUAGAGACCAACUAAGUUUGUUCUGGGUAUAAGCUUUCGUGUGCAUGCAUACUUCUUCAGAUACACACACGAAAGCUUAUACCCAGAACAAACUUAGCUGGUCUCUAAGGU